rnacentral:rRNA from 1 species
UACGUAGGGGGCAAGCGUUGUCCGGAUUUACUGGGCGUAAAGAGCGCGUAGGCGGACGUUUAAGUGUGGCCUGAAAGCCCCCGGCUCAACCGGGGAUCCGGGUUGCAAACUGGACGUCUUGAGGGGGAUAGGGGAAGGUGGAAUUCCUGGUGUAGCGGUGAAAUGCGUAGAGAUCCGGAGGAACACCAGUGGCGAAGGCGACACGCUGGGCCGUACCUGACACUGAUGCGCGACAGCAUGGGGAGCAAACAGG